GAUUAAUUAUGAAGAUAUGCAUAUAUUAACAUGUCAUAAAUAGUAAUAACAAUUUUAAAAGAACAAUUAAGUAUUUAAUUAAAAAGUAACACAUUAGGUAGUGUAUAUUUGUGUAUGUAUAUGUGUGUGCAUUUAUAUACAUAUAUAUAUAUAUAUAUAUAUGUAUACAUACAUGUUUAUAUACAUGACUAUGUAUAUUUUUUUUAAAAAUAUAAUAAUGAAAAAAAUGAAAUAAGUAAUAAUAUGGAUUAUGUUAAAAAAUUUGGAAAAACACUAGGUCUUAAUGAAGUAAAAAUUUUUAAUUAUAAAAAGGAUGACAGUUUAGAUGUAAAUAAUAUUUCAGAAGAAUUUCAAAAAGAAAAAGAAUGUACAUAUGAAAUGAAUAAUGGUGAUGAUAAUAAUAAUAAUAAUAAUAAUAAUAAGAACGUUGACACAUUUUCUGUUGAAACUACGUGUGAAAAAAACUGUGAGUUACAUAAAGAUGACAAGGAAUAUGAAAUUUUUAAUGAUGAUACAUACAAUGUAAAUAAUAUAAACGUGUUUUUUGAAAAAACAAAAAAUAAAGAAAACGAAGAUGUAUCUUUAAGUAGUGAUACGAGUGAAACAUGUUAUAAAUCAAACGAAAGUUGUAUUGAUAAUGAUGUUGAUAUUUCAUUUAAUAAUUUAAAUAGUUUAAUUAAAGAAAAUGAAGAGUCGAAAAUUUUGGAGGAAAAAAAUGAACUUUUUUCUAGUGUAUCAAGCGAUAAUUGCUUAGAUUCAAAAAGAAAUGAGUUCAUGUCUCUUAAUUCGAGUGAAAAUGAUUUUGUAGGUUUUAAUUAUACAUCCAAUUCGUUUUCUUUUGAAGAUGGCAAAACGGAUACUCUUAAAGGUUUAUCCAGCGUAAAUAGGACUAUGUCACAUGAUACUCUCGCAACCGCUCUUACUACAUCUGUUACUUAUACUAGUGGUAAGAAUGCUGACACUAAUAGAAGAUACAAUGAUAAUAAUAAUAAUAAUAAUAAUGACAUUAGUUAUGAUGGUAGUAUGCAGUUUGAGUAUGAUUCUUAUCAUGAUGAAAGUAGUAAUAAUGACAAUGGCAAUAAUGACAAUAGAAAGCAUAAUAAGAAAGAAAAAAAACACCAAGAAAAAGACUGCUUGGAUAGUGAAGACGAUAAAGAAAUAACAAAUAUAUUAUCAGUUCUUGAAAACUUAAGAGAGUACAAAACGGAUUAUUCUAAUUCGUUUUAUAAUGAUAUGACUUAUGAAAAAUAUGAAGAAAAUGAAUAUAUAUUAAAUGAGUCCGCAUUUGAGCCUGGUUCUGCUGCUCAAGUGGACGAACAAGAUGCCCCAAAUAGACUAACAGAAAAAGAAAACGAAGAAGACAAAGAAGAGACUAAAGAUUCCGUAAAAAAAAAAAAAAAUUUCAUUUAUGAUAAGAAUAUACCCUUUUUAAAUAACGAUUACACUUUUAAUAGCAAGCAUGUAAAUAUUGAUAAAGAAGGUGAUUUAGAUAUUCAAAAAAUAAAAGAUAAAUACAAAAAAUAUACAGUUUCUGCUAUUAUUAACAGCGGAAGUGACAGCGGAAGUGACAGCGGAGGUAACAGCGGAAGUGACAGUGGAAGUGACAGCGGAGGUAACAACGGAAGUGACAUAUACCAAAAAUAUGAAGAUGCAAAUAUAACCGAACAAAUGGGUGAUAAUGUAGGUUUUGAUACAGAAAUAAAAUAUAAUAACGCAAAUAAAAAGGAAACGUCACAUAAAUAUAAUAAUAACACAAAUGAUACAGAAAUAUAUGAAGAUGAUAAGGACGUGUCAAUUAAACAAACAAUGUUAAGUAAUGAUGUUGAUGGUGUUAUAAAUAAUAAUGAAUAUACUUUUACCACAAAUUUGAUCAAACAAAAUAACAUCGUCGAUAUUUAUGACGACGAUAAAGAUAAAUCUAAUAAACACUCACCUAUCGAAUAUAAACACGUUUUAAAUUUAGAGAAUAAUGUACGAAACGGUUGUAACGAAAAUGAAGGUGGUAAUGUUGUUCAAUAUAAUCAAACUGUUUGUACUAACAAUAAUAAUAAUGAUUUUAGUUAUGUUAGUUCUAAUCAUAAUGAUGGAGACAAGAUCGAUAAUAAUUGUAACAUUUUUAGUAGUACUAACUAUGAUGAUUUAGCAAACAAAAUUGAUAACAAAAUAAAAAACGUAGAAUAUGUAGAAGAUACUAACAACAAUGAUGUUACUAAAUCUGAUAAAUUUAAUGAAGAGCAAAAUGAGACUGGAGGUAUCGGAACAAGUAGAAGUACAUGUACAAGCACUGACAUAGGGAACAACACCAACGAUGAUAUUAAAAAAAAAGGAGACUCAACUAAUAAUGACAAACAGAUGAUAAAUAACUGUGAACAUAUAAGAAAAAAAAAUUUACUGAAGGAAAAUAUGAAUAGCUUAAAUAAUAAAGAAAAAGAUAUUAACAAGUCAUAUAUAAAUGUAAAUGGUUUAACUUUUGAAAUCCCAAAAAAUGAAUGUCCAUAUGGUGGUAUGGAUAAUAAUAAAAGUGGUAGUAACAGUAACAACAACAUUAGUGGUAAUAAUAGCAGCAUUAGUGGUAAUAAUAGCAGCAUUAGUGGUAAUAAUAGAAACAGUAAUAUAUUAUUGCAACAAAAUUAUGAUAUACCACAGGACAUAAAAAACUUCAACAACAUAGUAAACACGUGUAUAGAAGAAACACAAUUUGAUUUUUCUAAAUAUUUGAAUGAUUUAAAAAAAUUAAAACAGGUACUAUAUGAAGAAAUUAGUGGCGGUGAUAAAAUGAGUGACAGUGCAGAGUGCUGUGAUGCUAGUAAAUCCGAUAGUAAAAUAUCUGGGAGUAGUUUGAAUGAAAAAAAUGUCAUAGCAGAAGAUAAAAAAAAUGUGCAUACAUCAAUAUGUACUAAAGAUGAUAAAAAAAACAGUAUUGACAAUGUCUAUAAAAAUAAAGAUAAAAAUUAUACAAGUAUAAGGAAGGAGGCAAAAAAGGAGACAAAAAAGGAGACAAAAAAGGAGGGAAAAAAAAAGGAAAACAUAAACGAUGGAAAAGAGAUAAACAUAGAAGGUAACAAUAUAUCCAGUGAUAGUACACGUGCUUGCGCUUUGACUACUAUGAACGUAACAAAUGAUGCUGUUGAAGAAGUAACUGCACAAAACAACUUAUUAAAAACGAAAUUAAAAAGUUUAAAAAAAAAAAUUGUAAAUUAUAAAAAUAUAGAAAAAAAAUAUAAUCAAAAUAAAGAAAAAUAUAAAAAUAAUUUAGUAACUAUUUGUGAGUAUGAAAAAAAAAUCGAUUACAUUAUAAAUGAUUUUAAUAAAUUAAAAGAAAUUGUUACAAGUAAAGAUAAAAAAAUUACAAAAUAUGAAGAGAUAACAAAAUAUAUAAAUGAACAAUUUAAUAUUAGUAAAAUACAAUUUGAAAAUAAAAUGAAUGAGUAUGUUGUGUUUUUAAAAAAAAAAGAUUCCGAGAUAUAUAUGUUGAAAGAAUUAAUUAAAGAAAAAGAAAAGAUAAUUUGUUUCAAUGAAAACAUAUUAAAACAGUAUAAAACUGAUAUAGAUGACACGUUGAAGCAACACGUAGAACGAGUAGAGCAAAUAAAAAAAAAACUAAGUACACAACAAGGUAUAUUAUUAGAAAAAGACGCCAAAAUUAAUCAAUUAGAAGAAACCAUUCAAAACGAUAAUAAAAAAAUGACAAAAAUAGAAAACGAAAUAAAAAAAUUACAAUAUGACCUUGAAUUAGAGAUAGAAAAAAAAAAAGAAUUAAAAAAAAAUUAUGAAAAAGAAAAAGAUAAAAAUCAAAAACUGAGUACUAAAUUAGAAGAAAUUAAAAAAGAAAAAAAUGAUAUACAACAUAAAGUAGAAAAUCUAUUACAAAAUGAAAAAAUAAUUGUUAAUGAUAAAGAUGUGUUACUUGAAUGUAAGCAGACACUUAGUACAGAAAAUGAAAAUAUGAAAAAUAAAAUUGCUGCUUUAUUAAAUGAAAAGGAUGAAAUCGCAAAAAAUUGUGAGUUCAUCAACUCAGAGCAAAAUAAAAUAAAAGAAAAACUACAUUUUAUUGAAAAACAAAAUGAAGAAUAUAUAAAUGAAAUAAAUCAAUUACAAAAUGAAGUAACUAGUUUGGAAAAGCAAAAUAGCGAACUGAAUGAAAAAAAUAAAACGAAUGAAACAAAAUAUAUGAACGAACUGGAAAAAAAUACACACAUAGAAAAACUGUUAGAAGACACAAAAAAAGAAAAUUUAUUACACAUGAAUCAAAAAGAGUCAAUACAAAAUGAACUGGACGAGUUACAAAAAUGGAAGGAACAAGAGAUGAUAGAAAAAAAAGAAAAAAUAAAAAGUGCAAACGAAGAUAUAAAAGAGUUAGAAGAAAAAUUAACUGAAGCAAAUAAAUUAUAUUCAAAAGAAAAAGAAAUGAUUGAAAAUUUAACGAAAGAAAAAAAACAAUUUAUUAAAGAAUGUAAAAAAUUGAAAAAUAAAAAUAAAAAAAUCGGUUUUCAGUUAAAAGAAGAACAAAAUAAUUACAAAAAAAAUAUAAACAAUAUUAUAAAAGAAAAAGAACAAGUGUUAGAAAAAGAAAAAUUAAAUUUUGAAAAAAAAAUACAAUCGUUAGAAGUAGCAUUUCAACAAUCUUAUAGUAAAACAUAUGAAGAAAAAAAUAAUUUGAAACUUGAGUUAAGCGAAUUAAAAAAAAUCAAUGAAGAUAUAAAAAAAAAUUCAAAAAAUCUUUUAAAUGUUAAUCAAAUGUUAGUCAACGAAAUUCAAUUAUACAACACACAAAAAAAAAAUUUUAUUAAAGGAUUAAAAGAUAUUAAACAAGCAUACUUAAAGAUAAAAGAUGAAAAUAAACAGCUGAAAAACAAUGCAUUCGAAUUUAUGAAAAAAGAGGUACAAGAAAAUUAUGUUUCUAUUAUUGUUCAUAAUAAUUUAUUAGAUGAAAAAAAUACGUGGAUCAAAGAAAAAACAAUACUUAUGACAAAAUCGAAAGAAAACGAACUAGCUAUCACAAAUUUAAAUAAAGAAAAAAUACAACUACAAGAACAAAUAAGCCAAAUCACUAAACAAAAUGAAGAGCUAAAUACGAAUAUAAAGGUGAAUAGUAAAAUUACGGAGGAUUUUACGCUUAACGUGGAGAAGCUAAAAACAGACUUGCAAUCUAAAGAAGAAGAUAUAAAAAAAAAAAAUUCAGAAAUAAAAAAAAUAGAAAGAGAAUACAACAAGUUACUAGAUGAUUAUAAAACAGAAAAAAAAAAUUUAGUUUCAAAAUAUGAAAAUGAAUUGGAUGGAUAUAUGAAUAAGUGUGAAUUAUCGCAUGCUAAGUAUAAAAAGGGAGAAGAAGAAGUAAUAAAAUAAUUUUUGUUUAAAAAUGGGUGCACAUACAUGUUUAUAUAUAUGUCUGAGUGUGUGAGCAUUUCUACUAACUUAUACGUUAAUAGCAGAACACGCUGUUUUUUUUUUUUUUUUUUUUUACACAUACAUACAUACAUGUAAUAUUUUUUAACAUAUAAUAAUUACAUAUUUGCUUUUACCAAAAUUUAAACGCAGAUUAAAGAGUUGAAAAACAAGUUGAGAAUGAAAGAUGAAGUUAUAGAAUAUACCAACAGAGAGAUAGAAAGUAUUAAGGAAUCGUUCUGGUACACACAUUCAUAUAAUUAUGUGUUAAAAAAAAAAAAAUAAAAUAAGCUAUACGUAUUUAAUUUAAUGCGCG
ensembl:lncRNA